rnacentral:misc_RNA from 1 species
GAUGAAGAACGUAGCGAAAUGCGAUAAGUAGUGUGAAUUGCAGAAUUCAGUGAAUCAUCGAAUCUUUGAACGCACAUUGCGCCCCUUGGUAUUCCAUGGGGCAUGCCUGUUCGAGCGUCAUUUGAACCCUCAAGCUCUGCUUGGUGUUGGGUGUUUGUCCCGCCAUUGCGCGUGGACUCGCCUUAAAGCAAUUGGCAGCCAUGUAAUCCGGCUUUGAGCGCAGCACAUUGCGUACUCUCUACUGGGACAUGGGCAUCCAGAAGCCUUAUUUUUUUACUCUUGACCUCGGAUCAGGUAGGGAUACCCGCUGAACUUAAGCAUAUCAAAAGCGGAGGA